ACAAAUAAGUUAGUUUUGCAAACAUUCUGUUCUGCUGUAAUUAGUUGCUUUUUCUACAUAGUCCACACACAAUCUAGGUGCGUUGCAUUUCUCCUUGCCCCGCUGAAAACCACUUAUUGAGAAACUGGUUUCAAUCCGGGAAUAAAGCAGGUUGGUUCUGCAUUACCCUGCAGUGCCAUAUAAUCAUACAAUUGUAAAGUAGGAAAUUGUGUCCGUUUGUAGAUGGUUCCAGCAACUGAGGAGGGGGGGUGUAACCACACUUGCCUAAUUCCAUUGUGGGUGGACUAAUAACCAAGAUUGCAGUCACCACUUCCUCAUUCACCUGGGCCAUGUGCAGGGAGGAAGAGGAGUGGUUAAUCCUAUCACAAGGGGAGGGGUUUAUAAUGUGUUUCAACUAAUCACACCCCACCCUUGUGCACGGCAGGAUCCAGAAUCAAUUUUGAUUGAAAGCAGCAUGUUGAAGAUGGGCAUGAACAGUUCCGGACUGAGAUGAACUAUAUUUUUGUGCUCCAGACAGGUAUGCUGUGGACCAGCUGAAUGAAGCUUGUUACCGGGAUCUUGACUCUGCUAUUAAUGCCGUGGAUUUUAGCUGUGCUCUGUGAACAAUUCCAUCAUGUACGCUGCUCAGAGAGCUUCACGAUUAAGAAAUCGACAAAUAUUUCU